GUUAGCGUGGCAUAGACCGGCCCUGCAAAAGACUUAAGCCCUUUCAACAGAGGUUCAAAUCCUCUCUCUAACC
rnacentral:tRNA from 1 species